UUUUUUAUUAAGAAAUUUUAUAUCUUUAUUUUCCAUGUAUUUAUCUAUAUUUAUUUUUAUCUGUUUUUCUAGUAACUGCAUAUUUUUUAUAUCUUUUUCUAAAAAUUUUAUAUAACUUAUCAUCGUAAGUAUUUAUAAGAGUAAUUAGGUAGUUGUGGUAUAUAGCUUAUUCUAGACAUAUAAUUUUUACCAAAAGCUUUUUCUAAUAUUAUUUUUCUUAUAUCUGCUACUUUUAUAUUUCUAAGUGCAUACAAAAUAAGUAUCUUGAAUUUAUCUACCAUCACAUCAGAUAUAUUAUCAUUCAUUUUCAUAAAUUUGCUUUUUUCAAAAUAUUCCCUUCAAUCACGUACACAACAAAAUAUGGUCAUAUUGGCUUACUAUAUACUAGAUUAUUCUUAAAUAAUAUGUUCUUCCGUCACUAUUAACAUGGUAAUCUGGAUACUUUUUCCCUUAAACAGCGCCUCUACUCUGGUUACUCCCCGCCACGGCUUCUUGCCUCAAUGGUUUCACCUUUAGGAUGGCAUAGUCCUUAGGGAUAUUUCUCCAUUUCCUCUUUGUUAAUAAACUUCUUAACAUAUUAUUCUUCGAAUAAUUCUACUAUAAAGUAACUAAUAUGAAUUUAUUUUAUCAUAUCAUGAUUGUUGGAAAUUAUGAAAUUAGCUAUUCAUAAUCAUAAAUAGAUAUACCUGUUCGGGUAGCUUUGUUAUUUCUGAGUUUUGUUGUUCCAUAGCUUUUUCCAUUGGAAUAUGUUUAUCUAAUUAACUGAGUAAAAUAUUUUUU
rnacentral:lncRNA from 1 species